AAGGAAUUAGUUAAAUUAUAAUAUUAAUUUGUCAAGUUAAAGUCAUCUUAUUUUAGAUAUUCCUUA
rnacentral:tRNA from 1 species